GACAGAGGUGCCGAGCGUUAGGCGGAAUCACUGGGCUUAAAGCGUGUGUAGGCGGAUCCGUAAGUACCUUGUGAAAUCCCACGGCUCAACCGUGGAACUGCUCGGUAUACUGCGGGUCUUGAGCCACUUAGGGGCAACCGGAACAAACGGUGGAGCGGUGAAAUGCGUAGAUAUCCGGAGGAACACCAGAGGCGAAGGCGACUGGCUGGCCAUAUGCUGACACUGAGGCGCGAAGGCGUGGGGAGCAAACCGG
rnacentral:rRNA from 1 species